rnacentral:misc_RNA from 1 species
GGAAAAAGCCAUGAGUAAAAUUUCAGAUGAUUUGUGGAAUACAAUCAGAACCGGUGAUGGCAUUCAAACGGAGAUAACUGAAACGGUUCAAUCAGUUUACAGUAAGUUAUUGAACCCACAGCUAAAUGAAGCAGGUGAAUCGGCCUUUCAUUCAGACUUGCAGCCAGCUCAGAAUGGAGUUGAAAGUAAUGGACAUCUUGCUGUUUCUGACAGUUGUAUUGAUGCCACAUUUUCUGCUGAUGCGGAACCAAG